rnacentral:rRNA from 1 species
AGGUGUGGUCAUACCAGCGUUAAUGCACCAUAUCCCAUCGGAACUCUGUAGUUAAGCGGGCUUGGGCUAGAGUAGUACUGGGAUGGGUGACCUUCAAGGAAGUCCUAGUGUUGCACCCU